GAGCUUCACCAGCUGGAGACAGCAUUGGCAAGGAGAGCUUCCAAUAGGAUAUGAGCGCUGAUGCUUUUCAUCAAAACCCUGGGCCUGAGCCUGACGAUCGGAACCAUCAGAACGCAAGGAGGCAAAGGUCUGAUGGAUCAAAGGGGACCCACCGGUUUGAUGCUAACCUACUGGAGGAAGGGAGGUCGUCUCGUCCGCUCAGAGGGAGCCAUUAUGAUUCUCAUAUUAAAGUCAUGGAAACUGAGUCCCGGAGAGUUAAGGAACCUGCCCACGUCUACAGAGAUGAGGUUGAAACAGAACCCAAAGCAAGGGGGAAGUCACACGGAGGAGUGCAGCUGGGAGACCAUCGGCUAACACCUUGGUGAGCCUUUUUCUGUGUGCCCUCAGUGUUCUGAAAUCGUCCAUGCAUUUAACUCAGUCCACCCUCCCUUUCUAAAAGCUUUGUACUUUGUGAUAAAUCACUUCCAUGAAUACCAGUGGGAAGGAACAAAGGGGCCCUCAAACACACACCUACAGAAAUGUAGGUCCUUUUUUUUUUGGCCUCGCCUGUGCUAUGUGGAAGUUCCCAGGCCAGGGACCGAACCUGUGCCACAUCAGCGAUCCAAGCAGCUGCAAUGACAAUACCAGAUUCUUAACCCACAGUGCCACAAGAGAACUCUGGUGCAGUCUCCUUUGAAGGCAAUUUGGCAACAUCUAUUGAAAUUUAAAAUUCACAUUGUGUUUACAGCCAGAAAUUCCACUUCUAAGUAUUAAACUGGACCAAGAAGUAUGUACAGAGAUAUUCAUGGUAGCAAGAUCCGUAAUAGCCAAGGAUUAGAAACAUCCUAAAUAUUUAUCAUUAGGAAUGCUAGGGGAAUGUUAAAAAAUAAAGCAAAUGGGGAGUUCCCA
rnacentral:lncRNA from 1 species